rnacentral:lncRNA from 1 species
AGGCAAUGUAAAUAGAAAAGCCAAAGGCCUCAUUUCAAAUGCAGCAUCAAAUUCGACAAAUGAGACCUACGAAGCCGACGAUGUGACUCAAGAAAGAACAAUGGACACAACACAAAUCAAUAUUGCCUGUUAGCUAAAUCCCUGUUUUGAAAGCUUACCCAAGAGAGGGAGCAUUAAGAAUAAAGAAUGCAAAAAAUUAAAUAAAAUUAAAGAUGCA